UAUGAGCAACACUUCAUUUUCACAAUCUUAGAACACUUACAAUAAACAAUAAUGAUAAUAGUUUUCAAAACACUUGCUGAAUUUCAAAAUAUUUUCCCAGAGAGCAGUGUUUGCCUCUCUCUGUUUUGAUACGUGCCUUGGAGUCAGGCUGUUGCAGGGAACUGUGGAAAGGUAAAUACCAAAGAGGAAAUAUAUCAAAAUACAACAUUAGCAGGGCAUCAAAGCAGUAAAGUAUUAUGGAAGACAGUCCUGGUAAGAGAAGCAUCAACCCAUUAGACAUGUCCUACAAUAACAAAGCCUUCUUAGAAGAUCCUAUUUCAAAGGUGAGAUUGAGCCCUCCAGCACAAUGACUGAGCUUGAGACUACUGGAUUUAGCAAUGACCAAGAUGUGAGUGCUCAUCCCAUAGAGAACCAGCUGAUUCACUGUUAUCGAGCCUAAAACCAGGAAAGGAUCCCACAAAAUCACAUAGGACAAAGCAGCUACCAGAUACAUUUGGAGUGGGUAAUAUGUGGGCUCACAUCUCCUCAGCUCUGUAAGAACACACAGCAAAUUUCUCUUCUGUCAGCUGUUUGGCAGGAAUGCACCUGGAAUAUGCAAUGUAUUAAUUCUCACAGAUGUUUCCAUAUUAUAAGGAAGCGUGUUCUGAAAUAUAUGAAAUACUGGAAACCUGACAGCCAGUUCAAGACAAAGAAAAUCAAUUUUACAGUACUGGGCAAAAACGUCCAGGAAACUUCCAGCAAUUUGAACACCUGAAGGAUAAGAACUGCAAACGACUGCAAAACAAGAAAAAGAAGCUUUGGAAAAUCAGUAAUACAGUGUAUUGAAGUAAUUCUCUUUCAUACCAGAGGAUGACAACUGCGAAGACAAAGUCAAAAAUGUGGAGAUCAGGUCCCUUAGAUGACAGAAAAUUAGGAGACUGCUCUGAUGAGCGUGAGAAUGAGCCUGUCAUUGCAACAGACAACCAAGAGAAAAUAGCAUAAGGAUAAUACCUUUUUCAAAGAUAACUCCUGUCUCUGUUGUUUUUGUUUUUUUUUUUGUUGUUUUUUUUUUUUUUUUGCCAUGGCUUCUGCUGAACAAAUUAAGCAGAAGUAAAGACUGAAAGGAAAGAGAUGACUGGUGCCAAACCAGAAAAUUGAUCAGACACGCACAGGAGGACACACUGUACGGAGAGUGGAAGAGGAAAGAACAAAGUCCAGGAGGAGGAAACUUCCCUGAGUAAAAGGAUAAUUUCAAUAGGGGAAAAAGAGAUAAAUAACAAAGUCUCAAAAUAAUUUCCAUUUUACGUUAAGAUAUGUUAUAUCAGAGAGAAAGAGGUGAGGUUGCUGUUUUUGUAGAAUUCCUCCUAAUGUUGUCUGUAAACUUACUGAGACAUUAAUUUAGAAAAUAAAUAAUCUUGCUCGAUAUAUUGCCUAAGCUAAAGAAAAAAGGGAACAAUCGAAAGCACUGAGUUCUGCUAACUAACCCAGCAAUGUCUACAGCACUACCUGAAAAAAGCACUGGAGUUUAUAUUGCUAUUUAUAUGCUUGUUUACUCAUCAGGUAACUUCCACCAAAACCCUUUUAAAAGAAAAGGUAAUAAUUCCAUUGGAGUUCAUAGCUGAUAUAUUUAUCUGCUUGGAUUAAUGAAAUCAAGUAUGCAGAGGUUUCACACAACAUGCUGAGCAAGGUUCUUUACCAGGAUUUAGUGCAAGUAUGAUAUGUAGACUCAAACAUCUCACUAUCCUGACGAUGUGCACAGCAGUAACUCCCCACUUUCCUACUUCUACAAAGACUAGAGAUGCUACAGGAAGUUACAAAAACUAAUUAUCACCUAUUUAUGCAGCAAGUGAAGACAUCUUACUGACUUAUUUAAAUGCUAUAAUAUUAAUUCAAAGAAUUUGAUUAUUAAAUUAUUGAAUCUUUACUACAAGAAAUUCAGCUAAAGGAAAACACUUUUCCUCAAAUGUGUAUGGCAAUGAGAAAGGCAAGUACAGGAAGAACCUGAAAUGUCAGAUACAAAAUGGGGCUUUUUCACUCUAAAAUUAAGCUGUGGUGAUGUCUGCAAAUAUUGGAAAAGCAUAAACAACAAAAAGAGAAACAUUACAUAAUACCAUUUAAUUAUUCAAAAGUACAUAGUGACACGUAAAGGGAUAAAAUUUAGAACAGGAACAUUUAGAACAAAUUAGAAGGAAAACAUCUGAAAACAAGAAUUAAAACCCUCUGUAACCAUCACAGAAGGAAGAGCAUCUGCAGGAGACACAAAAAAAUAAGCUUAGCUAAGAACUGGGGAGGGGUCUUGUGAUGCUAAAAAAGUACACAAAGGAAAUCUUGAUUAUGUAAAUAAAAAUAAUUUAGAACGAGAUAUAACCCCAUUCUAUUAUGGUACAUCACUUGCAACUCUGUGUGUGGAGUCUGAAAUAAACUUCAUUGAUGCCUAUAAAAAUUAAAAUUCUGAAACCAAUAAAAGACUACAUGAUGAAUAAUUAUUUUGAGCUUAUUGAAAACUUUAUAAUGCUUUCUUAAUGGUUCCCUGCAGAUAGUUCUUGAUUACCAGGGUGGAAAGAACCAUCCAAACAAAUCACUGUUCUCCUGAAUUAAGACCUAAACAAGGCAAGACCUUUGUUAGAGCAACUUUGUUUACCUGAAAAUGGAAGUAGUUUGUUGACACCGUGAGUUUUUAAAUGGUGAGGUCUGCCAGGCAGCAGGAUUAACAAUGCCUAACAUCCUGCCAAAUGAAAAGUCCAAUUCUUCUCACAAAAAGACAAACCCUGCCCUCAGUGACGCCACCAUAAAUCAAGAAUAACACAAAAUCCUCAGGGAUAUUUUUCAGAGAUGCUGAAG